UGCGCCUUGCCAGCCCGCUCAGAAACUUAAAGGAAUUGACGGGGGCCCGCACAAGCGGCGGAGCAUGUGGAUUAAUUCGAUGCAACGCGAAAGAACCGUUACCUGGGUUUGACAUACACCGGAAAACCGUAGAGAUACGGUCCCCCUUGUGGUCGGUGUACAGGUGGUGCAUGGCUGUCGUCAGCUCGUGUCGUGAGAUGUUGGGUUAAGUCCCGCAACGAGCGCAACCCUUGUCUUAUGUUGCCAGCACGUGAUGGUGGGGACUCGUAAGAGACUGCCGGGGUCAACUCGGAGGAAGGUGGGGACGACGUCAAGUCAUCAUGCCCCUUAUGUCCAGGGCUUCACACAUGCUACAAUGGCCAGUACAGAGGGCUGCGAGACCGUGAGGUGGAGCGAAUCCCUUAAAGCUGGUCUCAGUUCGGAUCGGGGUCUGCAACUCGACCCCGUGAAGUCGGAGUCGCUAGUAAUCGCAGAUCAGCAACGCUGCGGUGAAUACGUUCCCGGGCCUU
rnacentral:rRNA from 1 species